UUUCUCUGCAGCCCAGGGACCUGCUGGAGUGAUUACUUUCCCCUGCCAAUUUUCUUCCAUCUUUUGGUGCUCCUUUCAAGGCCAUGUUCAGUUGGUUGUUCAAUACUCUGGAUAUAGCAGUGUGCUUUGAUAAUGGGUUCAAGAGCAUGAGCUAUUUGGGGUCUGGAAGCUCCCAGAGGAUGGCCAGAACAGGCCACAGCUCUUCUUACUG
rnacentral:lncRNA from 1 species